GGAUUAGAUACCCUGGUAGUCCACGCCGUAAACGAUGUCAACUAGGUGUUGGGAUGGUUAAUCAUCUCAUUGCCGCAGCUAACGCAUUAAGUUGACCGCCUGGGGAGUACGGUCGCAAGAUUAAAACUCAAAGAAAUUGACGGGGGCCCGCACAAGCGGUGGAGUAUGUGGUUUAAUUCGACGCAACGCGCAGAACCUUACCUGGUCUUGACAUCCCGAGAAUCUUUUGGAAACAAGAGAGUGCUCUUCGGAGAAUUCGGUGACAGGUGCUGCAUGGCUGUCGUCAGCUCGUGCCG
rnacentral:rRNA from 1 species